rnacentral:rRNA from 1 species
GGAGUUAGCCGGUGCUUCUUCUGCGAGUAACGUCACAGAUGUAAGGUAUUAACUUACACCCUUUCCUCCUCGCUGAAAGUGCUUUACAACCCGAAGGCCUUCUUCACACACGCGGCAUGGCUGCAUCAGGGUUUCCCCCAUUGUGCAAUAUUCCCCACUGCUGCCUCCCGUAGGAGUCUGGGCCGUGUCUCAGUCCCAGUGUGGCUGAUCAUCCUCUCAGACCAGCUAGGGAUCGUCGCCUAGGUGAGCCUUUACCUCACCUACUAGCUAAUCCCACCUGGGCUUAUCCAUCAGCGCAAGGCCCGAAGGUCCCCUGCUUUCCCCCGUAGGGCGUAUGCGGUAUUAGCAGUCGUUUCCAACUGUUAUCCCCCACAAAUGGGCAAAUUCCCAGGCAUUACUCACCCGUCCGCCGCUCGUCAUCUCAAGACANACUUAGUAAUAGUACGUCUCGACUGCAUGUGUUAGGUCGUCGCCGCCACGCGUCUAUACUGAGACACUAGAUACAAACUACUCGA